rnacentral:rRNA from 1 species
GACGAACGCUGGCGGCGUGCUUAACACAUGCAAGUCGAACGGAAAGGCCUGCUUUCCCUUGUGGAUUGCGGGUACUCGAGUGGCGAACGGGUGAGUAACACGUGAGUGAUCUGCCCCCAACUUGGGUAUAAGCCUGGGAAACUGGGUCUAAUUCCCGAUAGGACUGCAGGGUGGUGCCUGUGGUGGAAAACGAUUUUCUAGUGGUUGGGGAUGAGCUCGCGGCCUAUCAGCUUGUUGGUGGGGUAAUGGCCUACCAAGGCGGCGACGGGUAGCCGGCCUGAGAGGGUGGACGGCCACAUUGGGACUGAGAUACGGCCCAGACUGCUACGGGAGGCAGCAGUGGGGAAUAUUGCACAAUGGGCGGAAGCCUGAUGCAGCGACGCCGCGUGGGGGAUGACGGCCUUCGGGUUGUAAACUCCUUGCGACCGCGAGGAAGCCACCUGGUUGGAAGGGUGGUGACGGUAGUGGUAGAAGAAGCACCGGCUAACUACGUG